AAUAUUGGUCAAUGGGUGAGAGCCUGAACCAGCCAUGCCGCGUGCAGGAAGAAGGCCUUCUGGGUCGUAAACUGCUUUUGCCGGGGGAUAAAAAGCCAAUGCGUGGGAACUUGAAGGUACCCGGUGAACAAGCCCCGGCUAACUACGUGCCAGCAGCCGCGGUAAUACGUAGGGGGCCAGCGUUGUCCGGACUUACUGGGCGUAAAGCGCGCGCAGGCGGACCUGUAUGUGCCGUGUGAAAGCGCCGGACUUACUUCGGCGAGGUCAUGGUAGACAGCGGGUCUGGAGCCUCGGAGAGGUCGGUGGAAUUCCGGGUGGAGCGGUGAAAUGCGUAGAGAUCCGGAGGAACACCAGGGGCGAAGGCGGCCGACUGGCCGAGUGCUGACGCUGAGGCGCGACGGCGUGGGGAGCAAA
rnacentral:rRNA from 1 species